UACGAAGGGUGCAAGCGUUAAUCGGAAUUACUGGGCGUAAAGCGUGCGUAGGCGGUUAUUUAAGUCUGUUGUGAAAUCCCCGGGCUCAACCUGGGAAUGGCAAUGGAUACUGGAUAGCUAGAGUGUGAUAGAGGAUGGUGGAAUUCCCGGUGUAGCGGUGAAAUGCGUAAAGAUCGGGAGGAACAUCAGUGGCGAAGGCGGCCAUCUGGAUCAACACUGACGCUGAGGCACGAAAGCGUGGGGAGCAAACAGG
rnacentral:rRNA from 1 species